GUCAGUGUUGCUCACUGGUUAGAGCGUCGGCCUGCACGCCGAAGGGUUCUGGGUUUGAUUCCCAGUCAAGGGCA
rnacentral:tRNA from 1 species